AUCGAACGCUGGCGGCAGGCCUAACACAUGCAAGUCGAGCGAGCCGCGGACGGGUGAGUAAUGGCUUGGAACCUGCCUGAUGGAGGGGGAUAACUACUGGAACCGGUAGCUAAUACCGCUUACCAUCCGAUUUCCCCCGAUGGGAUUAGCUAGUCGGUGGGGUAACGGCUCACCUAGGCUACGAUCCAUCGCUGGUCUGAGAGGAUGACCAGCAACACUGGAACUGAGACACGGUCCAGACUCCUACGGGAGGCAGCAGGGGGGAAUAUUGCACAAUGGGCGCAAGCCUGAUGCAGCCAUGCCGCGUGUGUGAAGAAGGCCUUCGGGUUGUAAAGCACUUUCAGCGGGGAGGCGGUACCCGCAGAAGAAGCAACGGCUAACUCCGUGCCAGCAGCCGCGGUAAUUC
rnacentral:rRNA from 1 species